rnacentral:rRNA from 1 species
CAUGCCGUAAACGAUGAUUACUAGGUGUGGGUGGUCUGACCCCAUCCGUGCCGGAGUUAACACAAUAAGUAAUCCACCUGGGGAGUACGGCCGCAAGGUUGAAACUCAAAGGAAUUGACGGGGGCCCGCACAAGCAGUGGAGUAUGUGGUUUAAUUCGAAGCAACGCGAAGAACCUUACCAGGUCUUGACAUCCAACUAACGAAGCAGAGAUGCAUCAGGUGCCCUUCGGGGAAAGUUGAGACAGGUGG